rnacentral:rRNA from 1 species
AGCGAACGCUGGCGGCAGGCCUAACACAUGCAAGUCGAACGGACUCUUCGGAGUUAGUGGCGGACGGGUGAGUAACACGUGGGAACGUGCCUUUGGGUUCGGAAUAAGCCCGGGAAACUGGGUCUAAUACCGAAUGUGCCCUUCGGGGGAAAGAUUUAUCGCCUUUAGAGCGGCCCGCGUCUGAUUAGCUAGUUGGUAGUGUAAUGGACUACCAAGGCUACGAUCAGUAGCUGGUCUGAGAGGAUGACCAGCCACAUUGGGACUGAGACACGGCCCAAACUCCUACGGGAGGCAGCAGUGGGGAAUCUUGCGCAAUGGGCGAAAGCCUGACGCAGCCAUGCCGCGUGAAUGAUGAAGGUCUUAGGAUUGUAAAAUUCUUUCACCGGGGACGAUAAUGACGGUACCCCGGAGAAGAUGCCCCGGCUAACUUCUGCCAGCAGCCGCGGUAAUACGAAGGGGCUAGCGUUGCUCGGAAUUACUGGCGUAAAGGGCGCGUAGGCGGACAUUUAAGUCAGGGGUAAUCCCAG